GCCAACUUAACGUGUUGAAUGUAUUCAUUUUGUCGUUCUAACACGAGGUAUCUUAGUUUUAGACUUUUAUCAAAUCACCGGCAUUUAUCCUGCUAGGUUUAAAAACCCGAAUUCAUUCACCAGUAUUUCGCCUGCUAGGCUCGAAGCCCAAAUAGUAUCUAUCGGCAUUAUAGCCUGUUAGGCUCAAAGGCCCGAGUGGUAUUUCACCGGAAUUAUAGCCUGCUAGGCUCAAAGGCCCGAAUAGUAUCUCACCAGCAUUAUAGCCUGCUAGGCUCAAAGGCCCGAAUAGUACUGUGCGAUAUUCAAAUCAAUAAGUUUCAUAUAACAUAAUCACACCAAAUUGGAUACAAGCAUCAUUCGAACAUACAUCAUUUAAUCAUAAAAGUAUAUCACAUUUUACUUCCAUUACAAUUGCCAUUCAGACAUAUACAUAUAUGACAAGUAAUACUUAAUUCUUAUAAUAUGUCAUGUCAUUAUCAAAUAUAUAUAUUUAACUACUUAAAACUUACCUCGAAUAUAUUCGAACAGUCUCGGAUCGGCUAUUCAACUACUUUCUCUUUUCCCCUGUCCAACCUUGGUUCUCUAUGCUCUUGAGCUAAUUCAAACAAAAUUUAACUUAUUAAAGUCCCAUCAUGCUAGCUUAUGGCCGAAUAUGACAAGAAACUUAAUAGGCCAUAUAGUUACUUUUAGCUCAAAUAUAAAAUGGUCAUACACAUUUUUAAUUACAUUAAGCAAUUUACCUUAACAUAUAACCCACAUAACUAAAAUACAUAUAACCCUAAUGACCGAAUAAUUUGAAUAUGUAUAUCAUCAAAGUUCUUACGUUUAACCCUUAAAUCUUAUAGCUGAAUAUUCAUUGUAUAAUAACUCUCAUGCACAAGCACAAAACUCAUAUGGCUAUAAUAUAAUUUGAUAAACAAUCACACAUACAACCUAAUAUACAUAUAUGACAUGUUCGAACAUGCUAUUAUAAAUUAAAUACAUAUUGCGUUCUUAACAUAGAUUUCAAGGCUACAAUCAACAAUUGCAUUUGUUCCUAAAUAAUAGACUAAAACCAUCAUGGAACAUUUUACUAACUCAUUACCUUGCAUAUCCAGAUUUCAUUAAUUAAUAUACAUACAACUCCAAAUAUUAUAUCAUGGAACAAGUGCCAAAUUACAAAUUAUAAUAAUAUCAAAACAUAACUCUUACCAUGAUAUAAACAUAUUAAAACAUUAUUUAUUUAUUUAUCCAAUUCGGAUACAACAAAAAAACCUUAGAUAUCAAAUCUCUUACAACACAUUAACUAAAUUCAACAACCAAAUACACUUAUAUUUUUAUCCAUGCAUAUUAUAACCGAACCAGCCACACAAACUCAACCUAAAAACAUUAACCUUUCCCAAAACAUAUAUUACCUAUCUCAAACUUAAUUUAUAACCAUCUAAAUCAUUUAAAACAUCCAACACCAAACUUUUCUUUAACUAAACACAUUUUCGGCAUGACAAUGGCAAUUUAACAACCUUAAAUCCAACUUAUAAUUUUUUUUGCAUAUCACAAUCAAAGCAUCCACUCCAUUCCAUCAUUUUAAAACACAAGCAAUACUCAAAUAUCACCUAAGUUCACAUUCGGCAAUUCACCAAUACACAAGCCGAUUUUUCAUAACAUCCAAACUACCUAUAUGAACAUUAAACUAUCUCAAACAUCACCCAUUUGCAAUUAUUCAUUAAAACAUAAAGACAACAAUCAUCCCCUUCAAAAAUCUUCCAUAGCCGAAUACUUAAAUCACUACACAAUUCAAAAUUUUGACAUGGGCUAAGUAAGGGACUUAGUAACUAGCUUAAUAUAUGCUAUAAUUUCAAAAGCUAACAUGAAGUUCAUACCUUAAUCCAAGCUCAAAGUGACCGAAUGCUAUCUCCCCUUUUCUUCUUUAAGGUUCGGCUAAGUUAAGGAAGAAGAUGAAAUAUACAUUUUAUUUUUCUUUUGUUUUUCUAUUAUCAUUUCUUAUUUUAAUUAAUUUUUAUUUCAUAAAUUAAACCAUUACCAUUAUAAUAUUAAUAUAUAAUACAUAUUUUGUUUAUCAUUAUCAUCAUGGCUGGCCACUUCAACUAAAGUGGGAAAUUUGACAUGCAAAUCCACUUAUUUACACCAUAAAUUAUUUGGCCAUUACAAAAAUAAUCUAUCAUAUUUUCAAAAAUUUUCACAUAAGUCCUAUUUAAUAAUUUCACUCAAAAUGACAAUAUUAAAGCAUGAAAUUUUCACACAUGCACUUUCACAUAUAAUAAGCACAGAAUAUAACAUCUAAUUAUUUUUAUGACUCGGUUUUGUGGUCCCGAAACCACUUUUCGGCUGGGGUCAAAUUAGGGCUGUCACAACUCUCCCCCUUAAGGAAUUUUCGUCCCUGAAAAUCUUACCAGCGAAAAGGUUAGGAUAACGUUCUUUCAUUGAAUCUUCUGGCUCCCACGUCGCUUCUUCAACCCCGUGUUUGAGCCACAGUACUUUCACUAAUGAGAUUUUCUUGUUUCGUAGUUCUUUUACUUUAUGAGCCAAAAUAUGAACCGGUUCCUCUUCAUAACUCAAAUCAGUCUGAAUUUCAAUCUCUGAUGGAUUAAUCACAUGACAAGGAUCGGAUCUGUACCGACGGAGCAUCGAAACAUGAAAAACAUUGUGAAUCUUUUCAAGUUCUGGUGGCAAAAGUGGUCUAUAAGCAACUGACCCAAUCCGUUUUGAAAUUUCGUAUGGCCCAUUUACGGCCAAAUCUGAGUACCUUUUUCCACGGUGAAACUUUAAGAAACACUUUAUCUCCGACUUGAUACUACAUAUCUUUACGCUUCAAGUCUGCAUAUGAUUUUUGACUAUCUGAUGCUACUUUCAGACUUUCUCGGAUCACUUUCACUUUCUGUUCGGCCUCUUUAAUCAAGUCAACUCCGUAAAUCUUAUUCUCACUAAGUUCGGUCCAAAAAAAAGAUGUACGGCAUUUACGACCGUACAAAGCCUCGUAAGGUGCCAUUUUGAUGCUCGAUUGAAAACUAUUAUUAUAUGCAAAUUCAACCAAAGGCAAGUAUCGAUCCCACGAAUUACUAAACUCAAGGAUGCAACAUCUCAACAUAUCCUCGAGUAUCUGAAUAAUUCACUCGGAUUGACCAUCAGUCUGGGGAUAAAAAGCGGUGCUAAAAUGCAACUUAGUACCCAAUGCUUCUUACAAUUUCUUCCAAAACCGCUAUGUAAAUCUCGGAUCUCUUUCCGGCACAAUAGAAGUAGGUACCCCAUGUAACCUUACAAUCUGAGAAACAUACAGUUCGGCUAGCUUAUCAAGUGAAUAAUCCGUACGUACGGGAAUAAAAUGAGCCGUCUUUGUCUAUCUAUCAACAACAACCCAAAUCGCAUCUUUCUUGCUUGGUGACAAUGGCAGCCCAGAUACAAAAUCCAUCAUGACUCGAUCCCACUUCCAUUCAGGUAUCAUGAUUGGCUGAAGUAAUCCCGAAGGCACUUGAUGUUCCACUUUCACUUGUUGGCAUAUCAAACACUUCGAAACAAAGUCAGAAAUGUUUCGUUUUAUACCAUGCCACCAAUACUGACGUUUCAGAUCGUUGUACAUUUUCGUACUACCCGGGUGAAUUGACAUUCGGCUGUCAUGAGCCUCGUUCAAAAUCAUUGGAAUAAGCUCUAAAUUUCUCGGAACACAUAAUCGAUUUCUGAACCUCAAACAUUGCUAUCAAUUAAAAACUCUGAAUCCUCUUUCAAAACACAUAAUGCUCGCUUUGCAACUAGUUCAUCAUCAACUUUUUGAGCUUCACGGAUUUGUUGCAUCAAUAACGGUUUUGCUUUUAACUCCGCUACUAAUACAUCAUCAGCAGACACAGACAGAUGCACAUUCAUUGUUCAGAAAACAAAUAGCGAUUUAACGCUUAAUGCAUCAGCAACCACGUUAGCCUUUCCUGGAUGGUAAUCAAUGACAAGCUCGUAGUCUUUCAAUAAUUCUAGCUAACGUCUUUGUCUCAAAUUCAAAUAUUUCUGAGUCAUCAAGUACUUGAGACUUUUAUGAUCAGAAUACACAUGACACUUUUCCCCGAAUAAGUAGUGGCGCCAAAUUUUCAAAACGAAGGCAAUGGCAACUAACUCGAGAUCAUGAGUCGGAUAAUUUUUCUCAUGUGGCUUCAAUUGUCUCGAAGCGUACGCUACAACUCUACCCUCUUACAUCAACACACAGUCCAAACCAUUCAGAGAUGCAUAACUGUAAAUCACAAAUUCUUUACCGGAUUCUGACUGAAGUAACACUGGAGCUUUAGUCAAAAGAGUUUUCAAUUGAUCAAAACUUUUCUGACACUUUUCUGACCACUCAAAUUUGAUAUCUUUCUGAAGCAGCUUUGUCAUCGGUGUUGCUAUCAUCGAGAAACCUUUUACAAACCGUCUGUAGUACCCGGUAAGUCCUAAAAAGUCAGAGGCUUCCAAUCAAGUAUAGCUGAAAUUUUACUCGGAUCAACUCGGAUGCCCGAUGCGGAUACAAUAUGCCCUAAAAAGCUGACUUCCCUCAACCAGAACUCACAUUUACUAAACUUCACAUAUAAUUGCUUGUCUCGCAAAAUCUGCAAUACUAAUUUCAAGUGCCCAGCAUGUUUAUUUUUAUCGCGUGAAUAGAUCAAAAUGUCAUCCAUAAACACAACUACAAACCGAUCCAAAUACUGUCUGAAAAUUCGAUUCAUUAAAUCCAUGAAAAUGGUAGGGGAAUUAGUGAGCCCAAACGGCAUCACUAGGAACUUAUAAUGUCCGUACCUCGUUCUGAAAGCAGUUUUAGGCACGUUAGAAUCUCUAACUCGCAACUGAUAAAAACCAGAUCUCAAGUCUAUAUUCGAAAAUACUGAGGCUCCUUUCAGUUGAUCAAAUAAAUCGUCUAUUCGUGGUAACGGAUAUUUAUUCUUUAUCGUUACUCUAUUAAGCUGACGAUAAUCAAUGCACAAUCUCAUGGUUCUGUCUUUCUUUUUCACAAACAGCACUGGUGCACCCCAAGGAGAAAAACUCGGUCGAGCAAAACCUCUAUCUGUCAACUCUUGCAACUGAGAUUUCAAUUCUUUUAAUUCGGUUGGUGCCAUACAAUACAGAGUUAUCGAAAUAAGUGUAGUUCCUGGUACUAAUUCAAUACCAAACUCUACCUCCCGAACAGGUGGUAACCCAGGUAAUUCCUUGGGGAACACAUCCGGAUAUUCACAAACCACGGGCACAGUCUCAAGUUUCUUUUCUGAUUCUUUACUAUCCAGUACGUAAGCAAGAUAUGCUUCACACCCCUUCUUCAUAUAUUUUUGAGCCAACAUCGGGGAUAUCACUGCCGGUGAUCCAUUUAAAUCGGUAGACUCAACUCGAAUUAUCUCAUUAUUUGAACACCUCAAAUCAAUUAUCUUUCGCUUGCAAUUUACUACUGCAUCAUGAACAGUUAACCAAUCCAUACCGAGAAUGACAUCAAACUCGUCAAACGGUAAUAACAUUAAAUCAGUCGGGAAGCAAGAAGCUCGGAUCAUCAAGGGACAUUUCUUACACACUUUGUCAACUAGCAUGUAACGGCCCAAAGGAUUAGACACCCGUAUCACAAACUCAGUAGACUCAACAGGUAGAGUCUUACUGGAUGCCAAAGUUUCACAUACAUACGAAUGAGUAGAACCGGGAUCAAUCAAAGCAAUAACAUUAGUAUAAAAAAGAGUGAAAGUACCGGUAAUAACAUCUGGCGAAGAAGCAUCCUCGCGUACGUGUAUAGCAUAGGCUCUGGAAGGUGCACGAGCCUCAGAACGUACAACAGUAUCUUUGGUCCCUCUUUGAUUUCCACUACCAUUUCCUGCAUGUCUAGGUGGUCUACCUCGUGUUGCAGUAUUACUAGGUCUCCCACUCGGAUCAGUAUUUUUUUCAGCUAAUUUCGGACAGUCUCUGAUAAAGUGAUCAGCUGAUCCACACUUGAAACAAGAGCGAUCAUGAAAUCUACAGCUUCCUGAAUGCCAUUUACCACAAUGCUUGCACUCAGAUCUGUCCUGACGAUCAUUGCCGACACUGGCAACAGAGGUGGCCCACGUACUCACUGGGGGUUGAUCACGAUCUCGUCUGGAAAAACCCGAAGUAUUCUUAGAUCGGCCUGAGUCAUCUCUAAAUUUCUUCGAUGACUGAUGAAAGAAUUUUCCAGAAGAUCUUUUACGGAACUCUCUAGCUCCAUCAUCAGCUUUUCUUUUCUCUUUACUAAGCUCUUCGACUUUAUAAGCUCGCUCGACAAGCACUACAAACUCUUUGAUUUCUAGAAUACCCACCAACAAUUUGAUGUCUUUAUUCAACCCGUCCUCGAAGCGUUUACACAUGAUGGCCUCAGACGAAACACAUUCCUGAGCAUAUCUACUAAGUCUAACAAACUUUCGCUCGUAAUCGGUAACUGUCAUAGAACCUUGUUUGAGCUCGAGAAAUUCCUUCCGUUGCUAAUCAAUGAAUCUUUGACUGAUAUAUUUCUUGCGGGACUCAGUUUGAAAGAAUUCCCAGGUAACCCGUUCUCUCGGCACCACUGAAAUUAAAGUAUUCCACCAAUAGUAGGCAGAAUCACGUAAAAGGGAUAUAGCACAUUUUAAGCAUUCAUUGGGUGUGCACGAUAAUUCAUCAAACACACGAAUGGUAUUAUCGAGCCAAAACUCAGCCUGCUCAGCAUCAUCACUGUCAGUAGCCUUGAACUCAGUAGCCCCGUGUUUUCGAAUCCUAUCAACCAGGGGCUUGCUCAACCUCAACGGGUCAACUACUGGAGGUACCACAGGUGCAGGGGUUGUAUUAGUCGGGGGUGGAGGAUGUGAAAUAGCCGGAUUAGUCCGAUAUACUAAGUAAACCAAUCGUUCAUCAUAGCAUAGAAGGCUUGUUUAGCCUCAUCAUUCUGAUUACUAGCAUUCGGUUGAGAGUCCAACGGCGCUGUCCCUAGCGCGGGUGCAGGCGCUACGCUCUCUACAUCAUCAGCUAUUGCUCGACCGGGAUCAGAAUUCAUUACUAUACGAAAAACAUGUUUCAAUUGUCAGAAAUCAUCACACUAUCAUAUUAACACUUUAUGGCAUGUAUAGCUAGACUCACAUACGCUACAUUAGUCCUAGAAUCAACUAAACCAUAGCUUUGAUACCAAUAAAAUGUAACACCUCUAUAACCCGUAUCCGUCGCCGGAGUGGGUUAUGAAGAGUUACUAAUCUGGAACUCAACAUUACUACAUACACAUUUACAUAAUUUCAUUAGCAAUUAUAUUUAUAGCCAAACACAAUCAAAGAUAGAAAUUCAAACUUAUAUCGACAUUCAAAAGUUGCCAUAUUCACAUGGCUUAUAUACAAGGACAUCUCAACAUAUCAUUCACUUAAUUCUAUUCUAUACAUGACAUACUAGCUCAAAAUAUAGUAGUACCAAAAUGAUAGAUAGUGUGACGAAUUGCUGACGAUCCCCUCCCCGAGCAGGUGACUGUAACCAACAAUCUAUAAAACAGGGAAAUAUAACAAACGGAGUAAGCUUUCAUAAGCUUAAUAAGUUUUAAGUAAUGCAACAAAUAAACUUAAUUAUAGAUCAAUUAUCCAAUUUCUCAAGAGAUCAUUUUCUAGAUAUAUUACUAUUUGGCCGAAUAUACACAAGCACAUAAUGCACAAUUACAUUCUCAUUUCACUUAAUCUGAAUUCAUAUAGCAUAAAUCAAUAAAUCGAAUAUUUUCACAUACUUUCACACCUUGACCGAAUGUAUCAUGAUCAUAGAUAUAGGUAUAACAUUUAUUCACAUAUGUAUCACAUUAUACACUUAUGAUUCAAUUCAAAUCAUACUCACAUAUAAAUACAAAAUACGUACCUGGCCCACUUAACGUGUUGAAUGUAUUCAUUUUGUCGUUCUAACACGAGGUAUCUUAGUUUUAGACUUUUAUCAAAUCAUCGGCAUUUAGCCUGCUAGGUUUAAAAACCCAAAUUCAUUCACCGGCAUUUCGCCUGCUAGGCUCGAAGCCCAAAUAGUAUCUCACCAGCAUUAUAGCCUACUAGGCUCAAAGGCCCGAGUGGUAUUUCACCGGCAUUAUAGCCUACUAGGCUUAAAGGCCCGAAUAGUAUCUCACCGGCAUUAUAGCCUGCUAGGCUCAAAGGCCCGAAUAGUACUAUACGAUAUUCAAAUCAAUAAGUUUCAUAUAACAUAAUCAUACCAAAUUGGAUACAAGCAUCAUUCGAACAUACAUCAUUUAAUCAUAAAAGUAUAUCACAUUUUACUUCCAUUACAAUUGCCAUUCAGACAUAUACAUAUAUGACAAAUAAUACUUAAUUCUUAUAAUAUGUCAUGUCAUUAUCAAAAUAUAUAUAUUUAACUACUUAAAACUUACCUCGAAUAU
rnacentral:lncRNA from 1 species